GACGAACGCUGGCGGCGUGCUUAACACAUGCAAGUCGAACGGAAAGGCCCUGCUUUUGUGGGGUGCUCGAGUGGCGAACGGGUGAGUAACACGUGAGUAACCUGCCCUUAACUUUGGGAUAACUUCAGGAAACUGGGGCUAAUACCGGAUAGGAGCUCCUGCUGCAUGGUGGGGGUUGGAAAGUUUCGGCGGUUGGGGAUGGACUCGCGGCUUAUCAGCUUGUUGGCGGGGUAGUGGCUUACCAAGGCUUUGACGGGUAGCCGGCCUGAGAGGGUGACCGGCCACAUUGGGACUGAGAUACGGCCCAGACUCCUACGGGAGGCAGCAGUGGGGAAUAUUGCACAAUGGGCGGAAGCCUGAUGCAGCAACGCCGCGUGCGGGAUGACGGCCUUCGGGUUGUAAACCGCUUUCGCCUGUGACGAAGCGUGAGUGACGGUAAUGGGUAAAGAAGCACCGGCUAACUACGUG
rnacentral:rRNA from 1 species